GAUGAACGCUGGCGGCGUGCUUAACACAUGCAAGUCGAGCGAAGCACUUAGGUUCGAUUCUUCGGAUGAAGACUUUUGUGACUGAGCGGGCGACGGGUGAAGGUACGCGUGGGUAACCUGCCUCAUACAGGGGGAUAACAGUUAGAAAUGGCUGCUAAUACCGCAUAAGACCACGGUACUGCAUGGUACAGUGGUAAAAACUCCGGUGGUAUGAGAUGGACCCGCGUCUGAUUAGCUAGUUGGGGGUGUAAUGGACCACCAAGGCGACGAUCAGUAGCUGGUUUGAGAGGUUGACCGGCCACAUUGGGACUGAGACACGGCCCAG
rnacentral:rRNA from 1 species